UGUGUGGAAUGACAGCUUCCUAUAUUCAAAUCCACUGGCGCCGAAGCAAAAGCUAAACUCUGAUAAAUUCGGCCUACUAUCAGAAAGUAUACUGUAGCUCCAAUUUUCCAAACAACUUGUCGUGAUUUUCGUAAGUCAAAAAGUAGCCAACGUUAGAUAGCUAGCUAGUCAUAAACCGGAAGAACGGAUAUCAUAUCAGUAACAUUGGCAUGCUAGCUAUCUGGCGGACUAACAGCUGAGUUAGCUACGUAGCUAAAGUUAGUUACUACAGCCGCGUUUUUGUGCAAGAUUUGAUUUGGCAAGAAAUAUACUGCUAGCACUGGGUUGAUGGUUAACGGUAACCCUUGUUUGCGUGGUCAGCUGCUGUACAGUAGUCAGCAAAUGGCUGUUUAAAAACUGUGUUUACAUAGCUACCAAGAUACUUUUUUUAAACCCAUUUCGCCCAGUGCACUGUCUGUUAUGCACAUUAAUGAACCAUACCUGAAGAAGUUGAGAAAACAUCUAAUUUGACAUAUUUCUUACACUCUACUUUGGGACAGUUCUUUACAGCAAAAACUCAUACACUUCAAAUUGACAAAACUGAUGCUGUUAUUUGACUAUAUAGAUAUUUGACACAACAACAACUUUACAGCUAAAACACGACAGUGAGUGAGUCUGUGCAAGCCACGUGCAUUCUGACCGUAGUCUAAAUGAUCUGGUCCACAAAAACCUUCGCAGUGGAAUUUAUAAUAACAUUACCCAGUACUCAUUUGUUUAACAAUGAGAAAUUAUUUGGUCAGGUUUGUGUUUACACUGAGAAGAUUGAACAUGGUUCAAUUAAGUCUAAUGUUUUGCGCAAGAUUAAGGACUUUUGAGUCCCUCCUCAUGGUUACCAAGGAUGGAUUUAGAAACAUUGUGGCAUUGCAAAGUGAUGCACCCCUGCAGAUGGGCCACAAACAUUACCUGUCUCUUUGGAAUAAUGAGGGUCCUGAAAGCAGAGUAUAGGUUCUAGAUGGUAAAAUCAGAAUUUCAGUUGCUAACUAUUGUGGUAAUUACAAUGGUGAUUACCUGAAACAGGUGAGUAGUAUCUAUAUCAUAAUAACACUUUACACAUAUACCAUCUCUUCUCUACUCAACCCUGACAAUAUAAUUAACGUUUCUUUGAAUGUUGUCUGUAUGAAGUGUCUCAUCAGGAUUGGCACUCUUUGUGUAUUUCUCCAUGCUCCAGACUUACUUUGAGGUCGCAGACCAAAGUGUCACCAUGCCCCUGGUCAUGUAGAAUGAGCUGUGGCCCGAGUGGUACCAGAGACUGAAUGUUGGAACUGUGCUCUACCUCCAAAACUACACCCUCAAGCAGAGUAUAAUCCAAACAGGUCUCGACCUGACAUAGACAACCACAGAAUGAAGAGCUUUCACUCAGUAGAAAUCUGUCUGAAUCUUUGGACUCCCACUGCACUCCUUACUGUGGUUCCAGCCAAGUGUGCAGUCUCAAUGGGGCUUGCCUAAGGUUUCCUACUAGUUCACCACCAGAUAAGAAUUGAAGAACAAUUCUGCAUGUGAUGUCAUUUGGCUUGGUAAUUUUUGUGGGUCGGGUGGAGAGAGUCAAGAGUAAGGGGUCCGCAGG